CAGAAAGUGCUCUGAGCCCCAAGUCCUGAAGAACAGUUGCUGGGGAGGGAGGCAGAGAAAGCUACUGGAAUCCAGGGUGGAGCCUAAUCACUUCAUCAGGCCUUGGAAGGGAGGGUGACUUCGGAGGUGGGCUUUAUCACAGCCCGUUCAAGUCUGCGGGCUGGGCCCUGGCACUGCCCUGGAGGCAGAUAUGCAGGCUGGCGGCCAGCGAACUGAAGAGCCUCCUCUGUCUGCACGGUGAUCAACAGCAAGACAACACGCUUGAAGGCGCCACCCCAACCCCAACGUUUGGGCUGUCUGGCCCAGGAGAGACCACCUUGCCAGGGCGGGUUUGAGCUAGAAGUUUCACAACUCUGCUCCACACGUCCGUCUUUAACUACCGGUCGGAUACCCGCCCAUCUUUCAAGCGCCAACCCACGUUCCCUUCCUCCUCUAGCUUCAAAGACAUCUCCAUGGUCUGAUUCCCCAAAUAUGGACCUUCUGCCUUGGUCCAAGCUCUCGUCGUAGAGGACAGGGAAUCGAGACCAGAAAAGAGACCGGCGGUGCAGAGACCAAGCGCUGAUCCCGCUGGACGUCAACUUUCCCACGUGUAAAAUGGGCGUGAGCAGUCAGUUUUUCAGAGAUUUAAACUUUCCAUGACGCUUAAACUUCGCGUGCGUGCAUCCUCCCAGUCUUCGGGAGGACCCUGCAACUGACCAGGAGAGGCAGCAGGACUCUCCGCGGCCCCCGGGACCAGCUGUCACCGGAGCUGGGUUGGAAUCAGUGCUCCCAGGACCACCUAGGGAGUGCACCUGCUCUAGGGUGGGACAAAAGCUGGCCCUGGCGGGGACAGAAGCCUCUGGAGCUGUCUGCUCUGGAGUUCGUCGGGUGAGGCAGAGCGGUAACAGGAGGCUUUCUGUGUGGCUCUGAGACUUCUCCCCACGUGGCUGCUUGGCGUGAAGACAGAGAUGUGAUGAUGUGAUAGUGUGGCACUUGGGUGUGGGCAGACCUCAGGGGUCCUCCCAGCAUAGGCAUCAAGGUCUUCAAUGAACAAACGCUUGACUUCUCUGCA